AUAUUGAGUUUUUAUAAGAAUAGAGAUUUUAACUUUUUAAAAAAUACAACAUUUUUUAAACAUUUCAAGCAACGUGAUUACGUAUUAAUUGAAACAUGUAUUUACUUUAAAAUCGAUACGUUCAAAAUGAAAAGGGAGCUUAUCAAUGUAAAUUAUACAAUAUUGAAUCCGGGUGUGAAUCCGAUUAUGUUAUUUAAGAAUAUGUGAAUAUGCAUAUCUAUGUAUGUAACAUGAAUUUACAAUAAUAUAAUAUUUUGCAUAGCAGAAAACUUCGUGAAGUGUAAUAUAUUAUAAUUUUGAGAGUACGAAUGUCGAUAAUAAUCUCUUAUGGAAAAUAAUGACGUAUACAUGGCACAUGUGGUAUAUAAAUUAUUUCACCGUUUCUAGAGCAGCAAAUCGGGAACUAACAAAUUAGUUCUUUUUCUGCUAAGAUUGAAUGAAUGUGAGGUGUUCGAAAUUAAUUUAUUAUUUAUCUUUGGAAGAAGAAACAGAUCAAGGAAAAGAGAAAGAGAUAAAUCAAGAGAAGAGAGGUGCAAUAAUAUCUUUU
rnacentral:lncRNA from 1 species